rnacentral:rRNA from 1 species
UUUGACCUCAAAUCAAGUAGGACUACCCGCUGAACUUAAGCAUAUCAAUA